ACUCAUCUCUUAUCUCUGCUGGGCUUGUCAGCUGUAGCCAUCACUAAGUAAUUAACACAGCUGUGUUUAGACCUAUAGAAAGGGCAAAUGACAUGUAGGUAGACAGGACAGUAGAGAUUCCUACAGCUUGGAUCCAGGCUCAGGUUUCAAGAGGCAGCCUGGUACACUCAUUAAGUAAGCCAGAGCCGUGCGGUUACAAAGUCCACAUGAUCACAUUCACAGAUCUCUGAGAAUACAAAAGAAACACUUUUACAGUCUUCAAGGCACUGGCUUCUUCAUACAUCUGUACGCUGCCUAAUGAGAGAUGUAAGUGUGCUUUAAUACUUGUACGCUGUGUCCCAGGGAAAAAAACAAACCUUAGGACUGGAGCAUUAUGAUGACAGAUGAGAGUACUAUGGUGUAAUAAUCCAUUAGAAAUGUUGGUUGUGUAAUUAAACUGCAAAAAUAAUUCUUAGCGGAAUAUCUAGAGAUAAAAAGAUAAGAAUGUCAGACCUCUGAAACCUGUUCCCAAGCUGACACAGCAGGCAAGCGGAGCAGCUGUCAUAAAACAACCCCAUUCCACGGCCAGGGCUGUGUGUGUGUAACACACAUGACAUUUCUUCUCACUAACAGGCAUCUUGGGAUUUUUAUGACCACGAGGAUGGUCCUGAAAGAACAAUAACAUUGAAAACUGUAUCAACCCUAUAUACAGCCAUGCCUGUAGGCACUGCAGUCUUUAAGAAGAGAGCACAGGACUGAAGAAUAGAUAACCUGUCAUCUCUCCACAGCUGUGCUGCUACGAUGUGACCGUGAUCAAGUCAUUUCACCUUCCUAAGACUUCUUUCUCAUUUGACCUCUCCUGUCUGUGAGGGCAGUAAAGGGUGACCUCUCUCAGAACCUCACCGUAAGCUGGGGUGACUUCAAAGUGCUGCCAUAGAUCAGCAGAAAAUUCUGACGGUAAGGGAUUGCUGAAAGGCUUCCUCCGGUUUCUUUUCUCACUAGGGGUGUCCUGCGGUUUAACAUCCAACAAGCAGGUUGAUCAAAGGUAUCCAUUGAGAAACAACGUGACUGGCUCAGCCAAGGGAAAUGAGGCUUUAAAAGUGAGUUGAUGUACCCGUUUUUGAUGUACCACAAGAGCUUCAUUUCUUAUAGAAGACAACCUCCGUCUCAC